rnacentral:rRNA from 1 species
UAGUCUACGCCGUAAACGAUGGAUACUAGUUGUUUGGCAUUUAUGCUGAGUGACUAAGCGAAAGUGAUAAGUAUCCCACCUGGGGAGUACGUUCGCAAGAAUGAAACUCAAAGGAAUUGACGGGGGCCCGCACAAGCGGUGGAGCAUGUGGUUUAAUUCGAUGAUACGCGAGGAACCUUACCAGGGCUUAAAUGUAUGUUGACGGGUUUAGAGAUAGACUUUUCUUCGGACAAUAUACAAGGUGCUGCAUGGUUGUCGUCAGCUCGUGCCGUGAGGUGUCAGGUUAAGUCCUAUAACGAGCGCAACCCCUACCGUUAGUUGCCAGCAAGUAAAGUUGGGGACUCUAGCGGGACUGCCGGUGCAAACCGAGAGGAAGGUGGGGACGACGUCAAAUCAUCACGGGCCCUUACGUCCUGGGGCCACACACGUGCUACAAUGGCCGGUACAAUGGGGAAGCCACCACGCAAGUGGGCGCGGGAUCUAUAAAACCGGGUCACAGUUCGGGAUCGGGGGUCUGGCAACUCGACCCCGU